GAUGAAGAACGUAGCGAAACGCGAUAAGUAAUGUGAAUUGCAGAAUCCAGUGAAUCAUCGAAUCUUUGAACGCUCAUUGCGACCGCCAGCAUUCUGGCGGGCAUGCCUGUUCGAGCGUCAUUUCAACCCUCGACCUCCCCUUGGGGAGGUCGGCGUUGGGGACCGGCAGCACACCGCCGGCCCUGAAAUGGAGUGGCGGCCCGUCCGCGGCGACCUCUGCGCAGUAAUACAGCUCGCCCCGGGACCCCGACGCGGCCACGCCGUAAAACACCCAACUUCUGAACGUUGACCUCGAAUCAGGUAGGACUACCCGCUGAACUUAAGCAUAUCAAUAAGCGGAGGA
rnacentral:misc_RNA from 1 species